UACGUAGGGUGCGAGCGUUGUCCGGAAUUAUUGGGCGUAAAGAGCUCGUAGGCGGUGUGUCACGUCGGCCGUGAAAACCUGCAGCUUAACUGUGGGCGUGCGGUCGAUACGGGCAUGACUGGAGUUCGGUAGGGGAGACUGGAAUUCCUGGUGUAGCGGUGGAAAUGCGCAGAUAUCAGGAGGAACACCGGUGGCGAAGGCGG
rnacentral:rRNA from 1 species